ACUUAUCUAGCCAAUCAAAAAGAUUGAGUUUUGAAUAAGGUUGCUUGGUGGUUUGGUUUAGCCCAUGCCAAUUAGAUCGGCCAUAUGAUGACUGAUUAGAUGAGACCUACACCUAAACCUCCUCAUAAAUAUUAAGUCCAUAGAUCUUCCACCAUUGUAGAUAUACGGGUGUGGUACUGAUGUUGAUUGUUCUCGACUGGUCACAGUGGUUCAGCUGCAUCG
rnacentral:lncRNA from 1 species